rnacentral:rRNA from 1 species
AGGGAAUAUUGGUCAAUGGGCGCAAGCCUGAACCAGCCAUGCCGCGUGCAGGAUGACGGCCUUCUGGGUUGUAAACUGCUUUUAUCAGGGAAGAAAACGGCCAUGCGUGGCAGAUUGACUGUACCUGAAGAAU